rnacentral:rRNA from 1 species
UACAUGGGGUGCAAACGUUGCUCGGAAUUAUUGGGCGUAAAGCGCACGUAGGCGGUUCGUUAAGUCGGAUGUGAAAGCCCUCGGCUCAACUGAGGAAGUGCACCCGAAACUGGCGAGCUUGAGUACGAAAAGAGGAUCGCGGAAUUCCCGGUGUAGAGGUGAAAUUCGUAGAUAUCGGGAGGAACACCGGUGGCGAAGGCGGCGAGUUGGUCCAUUACUGACGCUGAGGCGCGACAGCGUGGGGAGCAAACAGG